CAAUAGCGUAUAUUUAAGUUGCUGCAGUUAAAAAGCUCGUAGUUGGAUUUCGGGUGGGAAUGGCCGGUCCGCCGUUUCGGUGUGCACUUGCUACGCCCACCUUGCUGCCGGGGACGUGCUCUUGAGUUCACGCUCGGGACACGGAGUCGGCGAGGUUACUUUGAGUAAAUUAGAGUGUUCAAAGCAGGCCUACGCUCUGAAUACAUUAGCAUGGAAUAACACGAUAGGACUCUGGCCUAUCUUGUUGGUCUGUAGGACCGGAGUAAUGAUUAAGAGGGACAGUCGGGGGCAUUCGUAUUCAACAGCUAGAGGUGAAAUUCUUAGAUUUGUUGAAGACGAACUACAGCGAAAGCAUUUGCCAAGGAUGUUUUCAUUAA
rnacentral:rRNA from 1 species